UAAGUCUAACUUUGAGUAUCUUUCCUUCACAAGGUUAUCCUGUUCUAUGAAAUAAAUUAGAGUUCAAACGACCAGACAGGGCAGCUAACAAAGACUCCUGGAAUAAGUUUUUUAUGGCUACAAAGGUAUCGCACAAUCCUGAGUGCCAAGAUGUGUUGCGCUUUCUCGGUCAGUACUGUGGUGUACCACAAAAUCUUUCUUUCUCAUUUGGAUAAAAAUUGUAUUGUUUGCUGUGAAAAUUCCCUCGUGAUCUCAGAGUGGAUUAUUUAUUUGUAUAAAGUACAAAAACAUCACUUAUCUAGUUCGUAUAUAUGACUUCUGAUAAUGGCAUUGUCGAUAUCAUAAAAUUUUUAAAUUACGUCCUUGAGU